UUGAACGCUGGCGGCAGGCCUAACACAUGCAAGUCGAACGGUAACAGGAAACAGCUUGCUGUUUCGCUGACGAGUGGCGGACGGGUGAGUAAUGUCUGGGAAACUGCCUGAUGGAGGGGGAUAACUACUGGAAACGGUAGCUAAUACCGCAUAACGUCGCAAGACCAAAGAGGGGGACCCUCGGGCCUCUUGCCAUCGGAUGUGCCCAGAUGGGAUUAGCUUGUUGGUGGGGUAACGGCUCACCAAGGCGACGAUCCCUAGCUGGUCUGAGAGGAUGACCAGCCACACUGGAACUGAGACACGGUCCAGACUCCUACGGGAGGCAGCAGUGGGGAAUAUUGCACAAUGGGCGCAAGCCUGAUGCAGCCAUGCCGCGUGUAUGAAGAAGGCCUUCGGGUUGUAAAGUACUUUCAGCGGGGAGGAAGGGAGUAAAGUUAAUACCUUUGCUCAUUGACGUUACCCGCAGAAGAAGCACCGGCUAACUCCGUGCCAGCAGCCGCGGUAAUACGGAGGGUGCAAGCGUUAAUCGGAAUUACUGGGCGUAAAGCGCACGCAGGCGGUUUGUUAAGUCAGAUGUGAAAUCCCCGGGGCUCAACCUGGGAACUGCAUCUGAUACUGGCAAGCUUGAGUCUCGUAGAGGGGGGUAGAAUUCCAGGUGUAGCGGUGAAAUGCGUAGAGAUCUGGAGGAAUACCGGUGGCGAAGGCGGCCCCCUGGACGAAGACUGACGCUCAGGUGCGAAAGCGUGGGGAGCAAACAGGAUUAGAUACCCUGGUAGUCCACGCCGUAAACGAUGUCGACUUGGAGGUUGUGCCCUUGAGGCGUGGCUUCCGGAGCUAACGCGUUAAGUCGACCGCCUGGGGAGUACGGCCGCAAGGUUAAAACUCAAAUGAAUUGACGGGGGCCCGCACAAGCGGUGGAGCAUGUGGUUUAAUUCGAUGCAACGCGAAGAACCUUACCUGGUCUUGACAUCCACGGAAGUUUUCAGAGAUGAGAAUGUGCCUUCGGGAACCGUGAGACAGGUGCUGCAUGGCUGUCGUCAGCUCGUGUUGUGAAAUGUUGGGUUAAGUCCCGCAACGAGCGCAACCCUUAUCCUUUGUUGCCAGCGGUCCGGCCGGGAACUCAAAGGAGACUGCCAGUGAUAAACUGGAGGAAGGUGGGGAUGACGUCAAGUCAUCAUGGCCCUUACGACCAGGGCUACACACGUGCUACAAUGGCGCAUACAAAGAGAAGCGACCUCGCGAGAGCAAGCGGACCUCAUAAAGUGCGUCGUAGUCCGGAUUGGAGUCUGCAACUCGACUCCAUGAAGUCGGAAUCGCUAGUAAUCGUGGAUCAGAAUGCCACGGUGAAUACGUUCCCGGGCCUUGUACACACCGCC
rnacentral:rRNA from 1 species